rnacentral:piRNA from 1 species
ACUACUUAUCCGGUUUCCUGUUCUAG